rnacentral:lncRNA from 1 species
UGGGGAGGAACAGGAAUUCCAAACAAUGUAUAGGGAGGGGCAAAGACUUACAAAAGCAUGGAAUGUUUAGCAAAUGCAAAUAGCUAGGUUUAAGGUGGAACCUAUUCAUUUAUCAAUUUAUUCAACAAGUAAUAAUUGAAUAUUUUUUGUUUCAAACACUGGGCCAGGUAGACAUUGGGGGCACCAAGAUUAUCAGUGUUAGCUUUGCCUCAAAUACUGAUCAUAAUAACAGCAGAUAUUUUUUGAAUGCUUAUUAUGCAUUAACUUACAUAUUCCUCCUAACAGUUGUGUGAGUGGGCACCACUCUUAUUUCCUUUACAAAUGAUGAAAUUGAAACUGAGAGAGUUUCAAGGACUUGUCCAUGGCCACACAUUUAUCACACAGUGGAGCUCCUGGCACUUACAGUCCAGCAGAAGAAACAAAGAGGCAUGAUUACAAAGCAGGAUGAGUCUAGGAUGGAAACAGAGGGGGGCCUGGAAGAGGUCAAGGAAGACUUUUCAGAGAAGGGAACUGCUGAGCCCUGGAGGAUGUGGCAGACGUGGAAUGUGGAGGUGUGGGGAAGAAAGAAAUGGGCUUUAUGACAACAGAUGUUAGAGCUUGUAAGGUUGGUUGGGGUCACUUUAUGAAAAGUGCAUGAACACCCUGCUAGGGAGCUGAGACUUCAUUCUAUAAGCAAGGGCGACCUAACAAGCUUCUUUGUUCUCUUGUUAAUCAGGAGGCUGAGUCACUUCGGGAAUGAUUCAGCCACACCAACCAUGAACUCUCAAUGACUUGGGCUAAUGAGGAGAAAAAUGGCAUGGAUGAUCUAAAAAUAAUGGACAACAGCAUGAACCUCAGCCUGCUAUGGAGGGCGCCAGGUCACACCACCCACCAUCUUUCUUUGGAUUGGAUUUCCUCCCCACCCCAUCCUGAUGUCUGGAACAUGAAAGGACUCUGCCCAAGGUGGGGACUUGCAUGUCGUGCAUGAUGCCCACCCUUCUGCAGGUGUGUUCCUCAUGGUGCUCGACCUUUUGCAUGAUGGCCUUGCUUCGGG